rnacentral:lncRNA from 1 species
CUCAUAGUAAUUUUCGAUAGUAUACUGGGACUUGCAAGUCCUGUCCCAGCUACUGCUGGAGAAGAGUGGCUUCUCUUUCUCUUCCCCUUCCAAAUCCUGGUGAGAUCCCUUCCUUUGAAGCGUCUGACCUGGAAUCCUAGUGGAGCUGACUGAGUUGGCUUGGCUGUACAUAGGAGGAAGACCCUGAUCCCUGGUGCUCAACACAGAAAUGCUUCAAUGAUACCCUGAGAUUGUUUUACCUUGCAACACUCUCUGGAAAAUUGCUGCUCCAGGAAUGCGAUGAAAAGAUCUGUAAGAGAGCACAGCCCCUGUUGAUUGACUUGUCUUGAUCAAACCAGAGCUUCUGGCUGGGAUACUGGUAUCUUGAGUGAGUCACAGCAGGAGAUACGUGCUGGAGCUGAAGAGGUUGGAGAGGCAGCAGAAAAGGUAGGAGACAGCAAGAGAAGGAGAGCAGCCUACAGAUGAGAAGACAAGUAAUUUACCCUAAAGUUCUAGGACUGCUGUUGGUCAAAGGAAAAAUCCUUCUGAGAGAUUUUGAUUUUAGGUUUUGAUUCUACUUCUGUUUCUAUGAAUGCUAGAGAGAAGAAGAAGCCUAUGAAGUAUACAUUUUCAUAGUAUUUUAUAGAUAAGAAUCAGUGUAUUUAAGCUAUUAACUGAGUCACCUAAUUAGUUAAUGAAAGAGUUGGGAUUACAACCCAAGUGUGUUUGAUCUCAGGGACCACACUUUCUAAUUCACAAAUAAUCUUUCCCUAGUAGAAUCCAUACCAGUGUUUUCCAAACUUGUUUUUUCUGUGAGAUUAACAAAAGUAAAUUUAGAGUAUAAUCUGCAAUAAAAGUCGUUGUUGGUGGUGAAUUAGAGGCAAGAGUCAGAAAGACCAUGUAAUUGAAUAUGUGAAGCAACAGGGGUUUUCGCUAAUGGGCUGUGUUCCUGAAAAGGUAAGGAAAGAGAAAAUAAUGAGGACAAAGAAAUGAAUAAGGCAAGGAAAAGACAAUAAUAGAAGCUGAAACGAAGUGAAAGGAAAAACAGACCAUUUGCUAUAUUUCGCUUUAUUACCACCACCAUUCUUAGACAUCAGAAGAUUUAAAAAAAAUCACGGCAGUAACUUCUUGAAGUAAUAUUGAUAAAACUUGCUUCCAAAUAUUUAUAUUUUUUGUAACUAAAAGCAUAAUCAGAAUUCAGUGAUCCCUUUUUAAUGCCACAAGUAGUGCAAUGUUAACAAGCUAGACUGCAUGAUAUCCUGUUUAAGUGUGUGUCUGUGCGUGAGUGGGGCAGGGAGGGGGUCUUUG